AAGUCGUAACAAGGUUUCCGUCGGAUUGAUCCUUCUCUCCCAUGAGGCUUUGACUGCUGCCCGACUCUAAACAAUGCCGUAAUGGUCCCUUCAUCAGGGGCAACGUCACAGAAAUGCUGGGAUUCUUGAGUGCAAGCGCACCAGCGGCCAAGAUCAUUCUUGGUUCACAGAUUAGGUGGUGACGGUCAAGUUAUUUGCUCGAUUAAGAUAUAAUCGGUCCACCGUCGUAUGACGGUGAGAGAAACGUUCCGUAGGUGAACCUGCGGAAGGAUCAUUA
rnacentral:rRNA from 1 species